rnacentral:lncRNA from 1 species
UGCUUUAUAAGGCAGCUCUCGUUUGAAAAUCUUGUCUGAAGGCUUUUUAAUUUUUCUCAUCUUGUCCUAUUGAAAAACGACUGAAACAUGAACUAUUUUUCAUCUGAUGAAGUAGAGAACCCAUCACAAUAUUGGUAAGUUUGUGUGAGUGCUUCCUCUGCGAAUGACAGUGAAGCAACUGAUUAUUAAUUAUAUAACUGUACGACCAAUAAUUUCUAUUAUAAUACCAAGCUUGCACACUAAAAACUCGGCUCGCCGUCACACGAUCCCUAUGAAAUUGCUGUGGCACUUAGCGGGGGGGGGGGGGGGGGGGGGGGGGGGGGGGGGGGGGGGGGGGGGGGGGGCGGACAUGCCGACAAUGUUUGGGAAGUCUUGGCAUUCCAUAGUACCACUUGCAUUUUGCACAAUGCGUAUUUUUGUCAUUCCUCGUGUACGGUCUGUCAUCUGCUACCAGCUAUGUUGUACUGCUAUCCCGUGCAUGUGCACGGGUAUCGCUAGUUAUUAUUUUUCUUUUCCUAACAGCUUAUCCCCAUUGUUGAUCACCGAUGUGGAGAACGAAUUAUAUGAAUUACAUCACGAAUGGGAAAAAAUAAACGACUUUCUUGAAGAGAUUCGAAUUUUCAGAGGAGAAAUGAGAGAUACGAUUACCGACUGGGAAGCAUCACUGUCAUGUCCUCUAAUCUUGAAAGACCCGACUUCAAGGUUUCAGGUCAAGUCAAGUGUGGGAGCAUGUGCCAGAGCAGCACGUCGUUAUGAUAUCCACUCCACCGGUACUCCUGAGGUCUCCAUCAUGCUAUCCCAAAGGCAGAUGCUUGGCCCAUUCCCAUCUCCUUAAGAUGCUGGUCAACCUGCUGCAACCACGGGGAACAUGGUCGGCCCAUUGGCCUCCUCCAGUCACGAGGCUCCCUCGCUGAGAGAAUCUGGUGAGGAGGAUCAACAUCAAGAAAAUGAACCACAUGUCCAUACUGAUGCUCUUGGACUAUGCAGGUAAGAAAUCUCA